rnacentral:snoRNA from 1 species
AAGACCGUACUUUUUAGGAUCAUUUCUAUAGUACGUGUCCCGUCUUUGUUCUCUAACAUAGACAACAUUCACAACCACGAUGAUGAGUGGUAGUGCUUUCUUCUGAGCGGGAAGCAGAUUACUAAGGUUGCUUUUAUAGUGACGUUAGUAAUUAUUGAUGACCGUUCCUUUCGCUCUUUGGAGCAAUGGGAGGAAGAAAGCGCAUUCAGAGUGGUU